rnacentral:ncRNA from 1 species
UAUCGAUAAUAGCACAGCUAUCGAAAGAUAGCGUCGCAAAGCUAUGGGUCUAAGGAAGAAAUAUUCUAUGAUUGCCAGGUUACCGAA